rnacentral:rRNA from 1 species
CACGCUGUAAACGAUGAAUGCUAGAUAUGGUGGGUCUUGACCCCUGCCGUGUCGAAGUAAACACGAUAAGCAUUCCGCCUGGGGAGUACGGUCGCAAGAUUAAAACUCAAAGGAAUUGACGGGGGCCCGCACAAGCGGUGGAUCAUGUGGUUUAAUUCGAAGCAACGCGAAGAACCUUACCUGGGUUUGACAUCCCUUUGAAUAUAACUAGAGAUAGAUAUAGACUCGCAAGAGACAGAGGAGACAGGUGC